ensembl:piRNA 21ur-2544 ncRNA
UUCUUCUGUCAUCAUGCAACU